GACGAACGCUGGCGGCGUGCCUAAUACAUGCAAGUAGAACGCUGAAGGAGGAGCUUGCUUCUCUGGAUGAGUUGCGAACGGGUGAGUAACGCGUAGGUAACCUGCCUGGUAGCGGGGGAUAACUAUUGGAAACGAUAGCUAAUACCGCAUAAGAGUAGAUGUUGCAUGACAUUUGCUUAAAAGGUGCAAUUGCAACACUACCAGAUGGACCUGCGUUGUAUUAGCUAGUUGGUGGGGUAACGGCUUACCAAGGCGACGAUACAUAGCCGACCUGAGAGGGUGAUCGGCCACACUGGGACUGAGACACGGCCCAGACUCCUACGGGAGGCAGCAGUAGGGAAUCUUCGGCAAUGGACGGAAGUCUGACCGAGCAACGCCGCGUGAGUGAAGAAGGUUUUCGGAUCGUAAAGCUCUGUUGUAAGAGAAGAACGAGUGUGAGAGUGGAAAGUUCACACUGUGACGGUAUCUUACCAGAAAGGGACGGCUAACUACGUG
rnacentral:rRNA from 1 species